CUACAAACCCGAACUAUCGUGCUACUGAAAAGUAGUAAGGAAAGUCUGGACAACAUAGAGCAAUUUACCAGUGAAUAGCUGGUUAUGCAAAAGCAUAAAGACAGUGCCACAGAAAAUAACUACCUCAAACUAUUGAGGAAAAGGUGAAAACGUAAGGUAAGAGCUUACGAUAUUUUGCAGUAAUGUAAGAUAUGGGUAAACCUUAAAUGUUGCAAUGCCACGUAUAGAAACGCUUGAGGGCUGCUCGUCCAAGUUUCAGGGUAGGCAGCAAUAGAUUGUGAUAGUAAUAUUACAACAAGAUAAAUGAUAGUUUAGAAACAGAAUCCGGCUUAUGAGGUUUGUAGUAAU
rnacentral:RNase_P_RNA from 1 species